GCGGGCGCAUACCGACCUGGAGAAACAAACUUCAACUCAAAUCAAUUAUCGCCUACCCUGAUUUGUAAUCAGAGGGUCCGCGGUUCAAGUCCGUGUGCCGGCACCA
rnacentral:tRNA from 1 species